rnacentral:rRNA from 1 species
UACAGAGAGUGCGAGCGUUAAUCGGAAUUACUGGGCGUAAAGCGCACGUAGGUGGAUGUUUAAGUCGGAUGUGAAAUCCCUGGGCUUAACCUAGGAAUUGCAUUCGAUACUGGGCGUCUUGAAUAUGGUAGAGGGAAGUGGAAUUUCUGGUGUAGCGGUGAAAUGCGUAGAUAUCAGAAGGAACAUCAGUGGCGAAAGCGGCUUCCUGGACCAAUAUUGACACUUAGGUGCGAAAGCGUGGGGAGCAAAC